rnacentral:tRNA from 1 species
GCAAGGUACUUGCCCCAACGCGGCUUCAAAAAGACCUUGAACAGGUUCCAGGGCAGCGGAUUUUGAUUCCGCCAUUCGGAGGUUCGAUCCCUCCCCGGUCUGCCCCA